rnacentral:rRNA from 1 species
UACGUAGGGUGCAAGCGUUGUCCGGAAUUAUUGGGCGUAAAGAGCUCGUAGGCGGUUUGUCACGUCGGAUGUGAAACCCUGAGGCUCAACCUCAGGCCUGCAUUCGAUACGGGCAUGACUGGAGUUCGGCAGGGGAGACUGGAAUUCCUGGUGUAGGCGGUGAAAUGCGCAGAUAUCAGGAGGAACACCGGUGGCGAAGGCGGGGUCUCUGGGGCCGAAUACUGACGCUGAGGAGCGAAAGCGUGGGGGAGCGAACAGGA